UACGAAGGGAGCUAGCGUUGUUCGGAAUUACUGGGCGUAAAGGGCUCGUAGGCGGCCAACUAAGUCAUACGUGAAAUCCCUCGGCUUAACCGGGGAACUGCGUCUGAUACUGGAUGGCUUGAGAUUGGGAGAGGGAUGCGGAAUUCCAGGUGUAGCGGUGAAAUGCGUAGAUAUCUGGAGGAACACCGGUGGCGAAGGCGGCAUCCUGGACCAACACUGACGCUGAGGAGCGAAAGCCAGGGGAGCAAACGGG
rnacentral:rRNA from 1 species